ACUGGGCACCGCACACAAACAGCCAGGAAAGAAUUAUUGCCAAAGGGGAGCUGAGUGCACAGCAACUAUUGGAAAUGUCAGUAGGUAUCUGUCUGCAAUCAACACUCUGUCUUCAUAAGUCUGACAGUGGGAUUUUUUUUCCCUAAUGUGACACAUCAUACUGAGGUAAAGCACAUACAAGUGAUUGUCAACUGCCAGCAACUAAAAGGGAGUUCCUGCCAAAGUACCGAGUCAGAAACAACAUCCCCCAUGAAAGACUUUCAGGAAACUUAAGCGUUAGAAAAUAAAAAUUUACAGCCGAACUAUAAUCAUUACUUAGCCCACUGACAAAACAAUGCAAGUACAGUUCCACACAGAAAAAAAGGAGUUCUUAUGCAUCAUCUAACGAGCAUGCACACACAUGCUACUAAUCAGCUAUGCUACUGUCACUUCAAUUGCUUUAAUAAUGUAUCAGCUCUACAAACAGAAUAACCAAAACCACUGACCACUUCUUAUUUCUGGAAUAAGAAUUACUAAGGAAAACAAAGAAAUAAAAAAUGCAAGUUAUUUUUCAUCCCGUUCUGAAACUCUUCAAACAGCUUCUGAAAUACUGGCUGGGCAGAAGAAUCCUCAGCCAUGGCCACUAAAAGAAACCCACAUUCAUUAUCCACUAGAUUUCUGCAAGUGCUGGAACAUAGAAAGAAGAGCAAUCAGUGCCAAGCACUGACCCGGGCAGCAAGCCGCUCAGUUCAGUCAAAAGCCAACAAUUUGCUUCUCAGAGCUUUGUUUAUGGAGCCUAGAAUGACAGUCUAGUUAGACAUCCUGCAUUAUCUCUGAAAAGCUCAUACUGACUAAAAGUCAUAAGGGAUGCACAUUCAGAAUGCUCUCUCAUCACGGAAUAGGCACGCAUGUGCAAGCAAAAGGUAGGGCAGGCUAAGUAUACACCUAUUAUUAAGUCAUAAAUAAAUGAAUAAUGAAUAGGUGCAUUAUUUCUUGUAGCUGUAUUCAGAUGCUGUAGAUCAGAGCUGGUUUCUUUCCAAGUUUGGUUUUUUUUAUAUUGUGUUUCUUUAACAAGAACCAUCCAAAACUCAGGCACAACACAAGAUACAAACACCUGCAAGGCUGCUGCUAACUGUUUAGUUAACUGCUAGAACUGCAGGCCUUGAAGGAGCAUUUUCUUCUUUACUGUAUUUUGAAGAUCUGGGAUAGAGAUGCCUGAAGAGUUCAUGAAGGCACCUCUCCUUCUAUUUAAGCCAUCAGCAAAUGAUUACACCUGCUUAGCAAAGGUACUGGAGCAACAGUGUCAAAUACGCUGGGAUCUGUGUCAAAGGGCUUACGAGAAGAAUUAAGAAGAGAUCAAACACUUAAAUACAGGUGAAGAUGAAGAUAACAAAACAAGAAGAGUUAAGUAAAUUACCCAGAUCAGCUGCACAACCUCUGAGGCAAAAAAAAAAACCCAAAACCCUAACCAAACAAAACCAACAACAACAAAAAAACCAAGCCAUCCAACCAAAAAACAACCCAAGCACACGGAGUAUGGAAAUAAUCACAUAAAAUAAUCAACUCUUCGAGGAUACGUAGGAGUACUGAUUAUUCUACAAGCCACAAAACAAAGUACGAGGCGUAAGUAAGUGUUUAUGGCUUCCAUCCACAUUUUAGUGGGGGUAGGGGAAGUGCCUGCAGACAAGUUCAGUUUUCUGCCACACCACACCACCCCUCCACUCCUGACAGAUGCUGCCUACUAUUCCCUAGCCACGUUGUCUAGUGCUGUUCAGCAGCUGACAAUCUCAAAAAAACCAAACCAAAACGAAAAAACAAGCCGGGACCAGUGAGAGGGGAAAGCGGCUUUUCUUCAUCAAAAUUCUGAGUUUGUUCCUGCACAGAAAGUGCGGUUAGUUUCGGCUAUAACACUGACCCGCAACCUGAGCCCAGCCAGUAUUUAAAAUACAAAACUACGUGUCGCCUUCGGGCGCCGCA